CUUCCAGUAACACCUUAGUGACCAACUAAGUUUGUUAUCGGUAAGAGCUUUCGUGUGCAUUCUGAAGAAGUGUGCAUGCACACAAAAGCUCAUACCAAUAACAAAUUUAGCUGGUCUCUAAGGUGUUACUGGAAG